rnacentral:rRNA from 1 species
GACGAACGCUGGCGGCGUGCUUAACACAUGCAAGUCGAGCGGAGCGGCGAACGGGUGAGUAACGCGUGAGUAACUGCCCCCCUCUCUGGGAUAACAGUUGGAAACGGCUGCUAAUACCGGAUAGUGGGGGAUGACUCGGGGCCUAUCAGCUUGUUGGUGGGGUAGUGGCCUACCAAGGCGACGACGGGUAGCCGGCCUGAGAGGGCGACCGGCCACAUGGGGCUGAGAUAGGGCGCAAACUGCAACGGGGGGCAGCAGUGGGGAAUAUGGCACAGUGGGGGAGACCCUGAUGCAGCGACGCCGCGGGCGGGAAGACGGCCUACGGGUUGGAAACCGCUUUCAGCCAUGACGCGGUAGUGGCAGAAGAAGCACCGGCUAACUACGUGCCAGCAGCCGCGGUAAUUC